GACGAACGCUGGCGGCGUGCUUAACACAUGCAAGUCGAGCGGAGCGGCGAACGGGUGAGUAACGCGUGAGUAACUGCCCCCCUCUCUGGGAUAACAGUUGGAAACGGCUGCUAAUACCGGAUAGUGGGGGAUGACUCGCGUCCUAUCGGCUUGUUGGUGGGGUAGUGGCCUACCAAGGCGACGACGGGUUGCCGGCCUGAGAGGGCGACCGGCCACAUGGGGCUGAGAUACGGCCCAAACGCCUACGGGAGGCAGUAGUGGCGAAUAUUGCACAAUGGGGGAAACUCUGAUGCAGAAGCGCCGCGGGCGGGAAGACGGCUUUCGGGUUGUAAACCGCUUUCAGCCAUGACGCGUUAGUGGCAGAAGAAGCACCGGCUAACUACGUGCCAGCAGCCGCGGUAAUUC
rnacentral:rRNA from 1 species